rnacentral:rRNA from 1 species
GACGAACGCUGGCGGCGCGCCUAACACAUGCAAGUCGAACGAGCGAGAGAGAGCUUGCUUUCUCGAGCGAGUGGCGAACGGGUGAGUAACGCGUGAGGAACCUGCCUCAAAGAGGGGGACAACAGUUGGAAACGACUGCUAAUACCGCAUAAGCCCACGACCCGGCAUCGGGUAGAGGGAAAAGGAGCAAUCCGCUUUGAGAUGGCCUCGCGUCCGAUUAGCUAGUUGGUGAGGUAACGGCCCACCAAGGCGACGAUCGGUAGCCGGACUGAGAGGUUGAACGGCCACAUUGGGACUGAGACACGGCCCAGACUCCUACGGGAGGCAGCAGUGGGGAAUAUUGCACAAUGGGGGAAACCCUGAUGCAGCGACGCCGCGUGGAGGAAGAAGUUCUUCGGAUUGUAAACUCCUGUUGUGGAGGAAGAUAAUGACGGUACUCAACAAGGAAGUGACGGCUAACUACGUG